CCCGAUCCGCGGUAAGAGAUAUUUCAAAUUCAGCUUGUCUUAAACAAAGAGGGUGAUACAGUAAUACUUCAUUACAUUGUCAAUUCAAAGCACGCAUUCAAAGCAACAAUGGUCAACAUCAAGACCGAAACCAUUUAAUACAUAUAUCAAACCUCAUAUGGCGCGUUAAGGGUACGCAAACUUAUUGGUGUCACUUAUGGAAGCAGCGUAGAACUUUUGAAGCGAUGGAAUAUGUGCUGCAAGCAAAUCCAGAACAUUGGAUGAACACGCUGCUACAUGGAACACAAAUCAUUUACACACCAGAUAUUAGGUUUAAUGUCACUUUUUUAUGUGCAAUUAAACCUUUUGGUCAACACAAGCACGGGAAGAAUUGGAACGACAUGGUUUAGGUGAUUUUGUAACCGUUUAUCAUCGCGACGUGUGUCAACUGGGUUUUGCCAAUGAGCUAGAGGGCAAAGCAGUAUUUUUGGACUUACCGGCACCUCAAUUGGCCGUACCAUUAGCAGCUGAAACAUAGAAAUCAGAGGGAGGACUUUUUGAUUCAUUUUCACCUCGUAUUGAGGAAUCAUAACGUUGUUGUAUCACUUUACAAGGACAUGGAUUCACCGAAAUUAGUUCAAUGGAAAUACUACAGCAAGAGCAUGGAUGUUAUGACUAGACCGUUGCCCGUGCUAGAUUUAGAAUUCCUGAAAUAUAAGUACCAAGAACAGUACUGGAAGUGCACAUGUAGUUUUCCUUCGCAGUUUUGGGUCUUUCAUCCGUGAUUGUACCAAGAUCAUUCACAGAAUUGUGCAGAGGUACCUGUCUUGCAGGGCACUGAUAGAUGGCUGAUUAAAA